rnacentral:lncRNA from 1 species
AUGCCCCUCUGUGCGUUCAUGCAGAUGAAGGAAUUCGGUGCAGAGAGGACCUGUGACCUGCCCAGGGCUGCAGGCAGCAGACGGCAGUCACGCCUGGUCUCCGCAGCCUCCAAGCCUCGGACAAGUGAAAUGGCAGAGACUGGCUAUUGUGCCUUUGGAGGGGAUUACUUUGAAUGGUCUGGAAAAGCUGAGAGGACACCAGGUCUGAUCCCUGUCCCCAGCCUACACUGUGAUGUCAUGGUUGGUAUAUUCUUAGUUAUCUCUUUCUUCCCUGGGACUCAUAGCCUACUUUUGCUCCCUUUUAAGUUAAAAACUAAACCUUAAUUAUACAGAGAGAAUCACUAGAUGGGACAUGAUUCGCCAAGAAAGUGGUGGGGGGGAGGGAGGGUGAUAACAACACAUUGACCAUCGAUAAAUCAGCUCCCAGGCUGUCCUGUCCUGUGACCUAUGUAAUGGGUAUUCUCUAGACCCUCAGCUAGGCAGAAAGCUCUUCAAGACUUGGGAUUUUUUCUUUCUUCCCUGCCCAGUCCCUGUCCCACUUCUCUCACACUUGGUACUAUUAAGCUCUUAAUAAUAACAAUGACAAACACUGGGCACCUGCUCUGUGCAGUCCAGGUGUUGAAGUUUCAUUCUGGUCGACACAGGCUGGGCCCCUGAAGACCUCUGUCUUCUCAGCUCCAACACUUCCCUCUCUGGGAUCCGACCACACCAGCCUUUUUUCCGUUUCUUGAACCCACUGAACC